GCUAUCCUACGGGGCGCAGCAGUAGGGAAUAUUGCUCAAUGGGGGAAACCCUGAAGCAGCAACGCCGCGUGGAGGAUGAAGGUUUUAGGAUUGUAAACUCCUUUUGUAAGAGAAGAUUAUGACGGUAUCUUACGAAUAAGCACCGGCUAACUCCGUGCCAGCAGCCGCGGUAAUACGGAGGGCGCAAGCGUUACUCGGAAUCACUGGGCGUAAAGAGCGCGUAGGCGGGUGGUCAAGGCAGAUGGGAAAUCCUGUAGCUUAACUACAGAACUGCAUUUGAAACUGAUCAUC
rnacentral:rRNA from 1 species